AAUUCAUCCGAAAUUUAUAUAUCCUUCUGAUUUUCUCACGGGCAUCCACCUCUCUUAUUUACCUUUCUACCACUCAAAAGGAGGGCGCAUCGAUCGAACUUUAGAUUAUUAUGGAUAUAUGUUGUUUUUAUUGAGUAAGUAUUCUUCUUGCUAUUGACCUUGUUUUAUAUUGUGUAUACACUUGACGAUGGAUUUCACAAUGUCAAGGUUAGGGUUCGUUACACUUGCAGUCAACGUUUUUGAGAUAGCAACAUUACGAGCUAUGUAUAUUCUCUGAUUAUCUUCCGUAUAAAACGAUCUGGAAUACGUUUGUUAGAUAGUCGGAACAACAAUAUUGCGACCGCUGAUUUUGUGAUUCGAAGGGUUAACUAUUCGUUAAUAAGUUCUCUAUGCUGUAUUUUAUAUGGUAUACGUGCACGGAAUUGAUAUAAAUAUCUUCAGUAAGAACUAUUUAUUGUCUCCGUACGUUACAUAUUUAAGUACGUUUCGUAUUACGUUUACUGCAUUUUUGUAUUGUUUUAUGUUCCUGUCCUAUUACAUCAUAGACACAUUCUGAUGUAAUUUCUUUUUCCUACACGGAUUAAUUCUAUCUAGGAGUGUAUCUUAUCGAACGCUGGCUGUGAAACGUGAGAAAAAGAUCCAUUUACUAUGUUUGUAGCAUACGUCCAUCACAUAAUUUAGCAAUGAAAAAUGUACGAGAUAUAUAAAUAUGGUGCGACAAGAAUCUUAAAAAUAGCCUCUCUCGGAUAUAGUGUGUUUUGUGUAAAUGUUUCGACGUUUAAUUUAACCGCAAUAUGAGCAUGCAAUUUCUAUGUGCUUCGAUCCCUCGAUAAGAUCAAGUUCGUACACGGUCUGAAGGUGUUACAGCGAUGUGAAUAUCAAUAAUGUUAAAGGUCUCGCAGAGCGAUGAGGUUAUCAUUAAAAACUGCGGGUGAAGUCACGCGUAGAAGUCACGAACUUCGAAGAAAUUUCGUGAAAGUAAGUGCCAACGUACCACGAAAUAUGCCAUUCUGUAAAUAGAAUGACCGGUGAGUGUAUUCAGAGAGAAACGAUUUGUGCUAUACGAGUUCUACAUCAGAUGCAACAGUUGGGAAAAAUCGAGUACAACGUGAACUAAUUUCACAUAAGCAGCGAACGUUCACCGUGCACUGAUUACUUGAAAAGUAAACAUUCAACUUUCGAUGAAAGUAAAAUUCAAUAUCAGUAAAAUUUGCAGAAUGUGUGUAAAGGAAAUGUUUAUGAUAUAAGGAUUAUUUAUAGAUACUAAUAUUCGUAUAUAAUAAAGUAAAUAAAACCAGUAGUGAUUACUAAAUUUAUAAAGUUAUGAUGAGAGCACUUAAUUUAUAAAAUUCAGGCAAACAUGUAAUUUAUGAUUAUUUAUCAUUAUUUGCUUAUUAUUUAUAAUUGCGUAUUGAGUAAUUAUUACCGAUUUCAAUUACAUUACUUUGCAAAAGAUACUAAAGUAAAUUAUUAUUAUUAAUACUCAUUUAAUAUUUUGAUAAUCGUAUUGAACCAACAUAUCAGUUAUAUCGUAUCAGAUUAAAUAGUGUUCAUUUGUAAGUACUUCAUGAAAUUGACACGUGUAAAUAAAUCGAAAGACGUGUUAGUCAGGCUAUCGUUUUUUGCUGGUUGAACGAUAGUAAUUGUAUCCUGAAAAUUGCUGUGCAGUAACGAGCAGCGGGUGCAAUUUUACAGCCGUUGAGUGGUUCGAAAGGAGCCGUUUCAAAGGAAGCGUUUCUUGGCAUUACUUUUAGCGGGCCACCUUUUUCCAUUAUUUUCAUUCACAGUGUGUUAAAAGCAGUUAAUUUAUAGCAGGUGAAUUUCAAACGAAUAGAUAUAAUGUUCCCACUACGACAAGCGGAAUAGUUGUUAAUAAGUAGGAAAUAGGAAUAACCUUACCUAAAUUUACGUUGUAAGGUUAAUAACGUUAUUACCAUUUUCUUUUACAAUUAGACCCUAUCAUUUAAUACAUCCUUUCAAUUAAUAGCGUUUUCAUAAUGAUAAUCAUUUUUAUUUCGAUAAUUUCUGCAAAUUUGCAGUUAUUACCAAGUAUCCAUAUAAAGUUAUCAAAAUUGCUCUACGAUGAAAUAUGUAAGUAUUUAGAAUUGAUGGGAAUAUAUGUAAAUUUCAAUUGUUUAUAUGUACAUAUAUAUAUAUCUGCUUGCUCGUGUUCUCCGUGAAUUGAGCUUAUGCAAAUCAUGUUUAUAAAGAAAUAGCGCACCAAAACUAUUCAAAUUAUGCAAAUGUGAAUAUUUAGUCACGAAAGUGAAAAAAAGUAGAUGAGAGCUGCGUGAGAUACGUGAACGUCAUCGAUUGGAAGCAGUGCAAUUCGAUGCAAGGAACGUAUAAGAAGAAGUGGGUUUAUCGUGUGCUGAGCUCACAGCUUGAUCGCUACAUUUUUCCAAUUGCACUUUUAAUUAAUUCGGUGAAUUUCCAUGAAUCGAUCCAUUCAUUUAUGAUAUUGAUCAUUACUACUGAAUGAAUUUUAAUACAAUACAAGUAAUAGAGCUAGAAUUAUUUUUCACUAUUGAAUUGAUAUUCUUAGUGAAAUUGUACAAGUUAGAAAUCGUAAGUUUUUUACUAUUAAUUUUCCAGUAUUAACUUUUAAAAGUUAUUAUCGGAAGAAAUUUAUGCUAUCAUAGAUUAAAUUUCACACCAUUACAUUUUUUUAAUCUAGAAAUUAAUAAAGUGAGACAAACGCAAUUAAAUAUUUUUAUUAUUAUUUAAUAAUAGGCGAACGAUAAGAAAGUUAUUAUUGUUAAUGGUUACAAAUAACAUCGUAAUAACAUCGAAACAAAGUCUGGAUGGAAAGAAAUUUCACGAGUUAUAUAACAGUAAAAUGAGUUUAAUAACGAAGCAAAUGAAUAUUUGCAAGUAAAUCUUACAAAUUACAAAUCAUUUAAUUAUUAUAUUUAACCGUCACAAAAAUAUAGUCACAAAAUAGAAAUCUAUCACUUGUAACUCUUUAAUUUAACUUGACAUAAUUUGUAAUUUGUUAAUUUAUUAAUAUUAUUAUUUAGUUGAUGAAUUAUUGCGCGAAGAACGAUUCAUUUUCAUCCAUUCACGAUUCGGUAAAAAUUAUUAUUAGUAAUUUCUAUUACUUUCACCAACAAGAGUAUAAUCAUAUACAAACUUUUCUUUUUUAACGAAAGAUAAAUAUCUUUGGAUUUUUGUUUAACAUAGUAACAGCAUUAUCCUUCAGUGAUUUUUUAAAAUUGUAACAAAAGUAUACUUGAGAGGACUCUUAAGAAAGAAAAUCUCUUAUUUUCAGUGUUAAGUUAUAAGGCCCAUUUCAUUUUGUCACCUGAGAAUAUCUGUCUUUUUACUUAUUAGUUAUCAUACAACCAGUAGCUGAAGGUAAUGUACAAGAGGGCCCAGAACUAUUUUCAAUGAUUAUAAAAGAAUUUCAAAGAGCUAUGUUUAAAUACACCGAUUAUACUAUUCGUGCAAGGCUAGUAUAAAAAGGGAAGAAAGAAAG